rnacentral:lncRNA from 10 species
CUUUUCUAUAAAGGACCCAACUUGAAAGGGAAAUUUUGCUGACAGUGAGAGUUUGAGUUUCAGUCCCUAAAGCCAGGGGCAAGUUUUUCAAGAGACCCAUACUGCAAGGCCACAUUGUGGACUAUGUAACUUCAGCUAAUUUCUUGGAAAUCAAUCAAAGCAUAUGGACUAUAUUUUAAUUCUACAGACAUUGCGUUAGGCAGAACAGCUACCAACACCCAAUCCCUGAAAUUUGUGAUUAUGUUUUGAUACAUGGCAAAAGGAACUAUGCAGAUGUAAUUAAGGUUAAGAACUUUAAAAUAGGAAGAUUAAAUCCAAGGAGUUCUUCAAAGUAAAGAACUACUACAUGCAGAAGAUUGGGAAGAAAUAACAGAGAGUGCUUGAAGAAUAGAUGUGGCUAGGACAAUAUCUCUGAAUCUCUGAAUGGCCCAUGGUGGUGACCCCCAGCCAGAGUGAACUGUGCAGCAGCAAUGGUGCCCAGUGGGCAGCAACAGUGGAACAGAAGGUGAGGAAGGGGCCAGAAGGAAUCCUUUAGGAAAUUAAGAAAAGGAUAAAAAUAUGAUAAAAAUGUGGUGUCCAGGCGAGAAACGGAAUAACCUCAUCCCUGUUCUGACUAACAAUUUGGUAAUAUUUUGACAGUUUUGAACAAGAACUUCCUUCUCCUUUUCUUUUGGAGUACACCAUAGUGAAAGACCUAUGGUAAAAAACAAGGUACAACUGGAAUACUGCUUUUUGUUUUUCUAUUUUCAAUAGUAUCUCCUGUUUAUAAUGGAUUGUUUUAAUCUCAGGGAAGAACAUCUGAGGAGAUCACCGGGUCUCUAAAUACCAGUUCUUGUCUCUGCACACCUUUUUUAGGGGGGACUGAUGCCUGGUUAUAUCUGCGGUACACCAGUUCCUAAAGCAAUACCUAAGAAAGUCAAUGUUUCCUAGAUAAACUUGACUUUCAUCAAAUGAUAUUUAGAAUCAGUUUUAAACUUGUAGAGUAUUGCAAUCAAUUAUGAUCAUAUUUUGCAGCAUAUAUCAUGAAGUCCAAAUCAUUUUAGCUUAAAGAAAACAGACGUCUAUUAUUUUUUCACUUAGAGUAAGUCAGGAAGUGUGUAGUCUUAUGUGUUGGCUUUCCAGUGUCAUCAGGGGCCCAGAUUCCUGUCUUUCUGCUCUGCCAUCUCCAAUGUGUGGUUUCUAACCUCAUGAUCCAAAGUGGGUUCUUUUGCUCCAGCCCGCGUAUCAAUGUACCAGGCCAGUAGAAUGAAGAAACUAAGGAGAGCAAAAGGAGGCUCCUUCCUAACUGAGUCAACUUUCUUUAAGCAUUUGUCCUGAAGGUCUCACACAAUAUUUUUGCAUACGUCUCACAGGUCAAAACUUAGUUAUGUGUCCACACAAAAUUUCAGAAGAGGCUGGAAGGUGUUGUCUUUUAGCUGAAUGCAUUAUCAUCCUGGAAUUCAAAUCUGGGUUCUAAUAGUAAGCGAGAAAGAGAGCGUGGUUAUUAAGUGGUGUCAUUUGGCACAGCCUGUCAACAGAGGACAUGUUAAUUGGCAUUCAUACUGAUGUUUUAAUAAAGCAUGUAGUGUGCUUAUGAGGACCAAGAUUGACCAUACUUUGGUCAUCAUCAAUCAUGGACUGAAAGGCUUUUAAACAUGAGGUAUGUACCGCCUAGCAUUCAGUAACAACCCACUUAGUCAUUCCUACCUUAAUUUUAGGUGCAUGAUACCAAAAUGUUAACAUAUUUGAGAAACAGUCCAAGCUAAUUUAAUUUACGUAAGUACAUUUUUAGAUAAGACAAUGAUAAAUUUGAAAAUCAGUUUGGUUUAAUGAUUGGUUAGUUAAAAAUAUAUCAAAUAAAUAACUUUUUCUACCUUAGCAUUUUUAAAAUUCUGGACCUAAAAUUAUUACAUUCUAUUUAGGGCAAGGAUUAGCAAAAUACAGCUUACAGGCCAAGUUUGUCUUGACUUCCUUUUUUGUAAAUAAAGUUUUUUUGAAACACAGUUACUCUCAUAUGGUUACAUAUUGUCAGUGGCUGCUUUCACUCUAUAUCGGCAGAACCGAGUAAUUGUAUUAGAUACCCCCACCACUAAACCCAAUGUGUUUACUAUCUGGAUUCAUACAGACAAUGUUUGCUGACCCCUGGCAUAGGCAAAGCAAAAUACAUGACACAAUGAAUUUCCCUCAUACUUAGAAGUUAGGGCCCACAGAACUCACCUGAAAAGUUGCUUAAUAGUUACUUAAUUAUAUAGCAGAUUAAUCAGUUUUUAACUUGAUUCUGACGUUCCUAAAGAAUGGCAAAUUCCUUCCUAACACAAACUAAACCUUUACCUCCGUGGUUCUCAACUGGGGUCAAUUGUGUCUGCCAGAGACAUCUGGUAAUAUGUAGAGACCUUUUUAGUUGUCACAAGUUGGGGUUGGGAGGUGGCUGCCACUGGCAUUUGAUAGGCAGAGGCCAGGGGUGCUGCCAAACGUCCUACAAUGCACAGGACCGCCACUCAACACAAGGAACUAUCUGGCACAAAAGUCACUAGUGCUAAGACUGAGAAACUCCAUGGUAAGUGAGAACUCCCUAGGACCGAAUAGGUAGUUGUCAAUAACAAAAAGGAGGAAUUACUUUCCUUAAAGGUAAAAAUAAUUGUGGCAUUCGGUAAAAAUAAUUGUGGCAUUCUUUCUUGGUGGUGGAGGUUUUGCUGUACUCCUUCCUUGUUUUUAUUCUCCGAAUGAAAACACCAUUUUUAUCUGAAUUAGUAGCUCAAAGUUUUCCAUUAAUCACCUCAAACGGACUGACACAGUGUUUCACACACAAUGUCACGCAUGCUGUAUGCUAACUCCUGAGUUUUGUUCUGAGGGAGAAAAAUGAAUUCCAUGGCCAAAAGUACUAGAGGAAGAACACUCAUCAUAUCAUCAUCUGGGAGGUUCACUGUUUACCUCCAGGAUAUUAAUGGCACUCAGAAGACUGGUGGUGAAGAAACCUAGGAACUGUAGAAAUGUAAAACCUGAUGAGGCUGCUAUUUGUAGACUAGGUCCAGGGAAGAUGUACUAGGUCAGAGGAGAAGAUAUCAUGGCAGAAUCUUCUAAACAGUUUUUCAUGGAUGACUUAUUCAUACAUGGUCCUCAGACAUGGUCCUCAGAGUGAAAAAUAAAAGAAUUCCUAAGUAAAUGAAUUUGGAGAUUACUACCUUUUACAGAGUUUAACAAGUUCAAUUAUAGCAAAGGCUUUUAACCCUCUUUUUCUGUGUGUGAUAAAUCCCAUUGGCAGUCGCAGAUCUCUUCUCAAAUUAAUGUGAUCAAAUGCAUAAAGCAAAAUGUAUAGGGUAUCAAAUAAAUUGCAUUGAAGUGUAAUUAACAAAACAAAAAUAAACUGGUGAUAUAUGAAUGUAAGCAUCUCUUUAUUAUCACAUUAAAUAAUAAGAUCUAGCAGUAGGUCUACUAACUACCAUACUUUUAAAGUAGUAGUGAGUACAAAUAAUAUUUCAAGACAGCUGCAAUAACGGUGAUGUGAUAUGAAAACAUCUGUCAUUUUUGUUGGGGACAAAGUCACAAGUACUGCCAAUAUUACUACAGCUUGUUGUCUUCAUUCAAACGGAAGAAAAUGCUAAAUUUCAGUGAAGUGAAAACUAAGGUUUAAACCAUCGUAGAGCCUUUAAAAUGUUAUGUUACUUGUGAGUUUCCAGAAGUAAUGGUUGUGGGACUUGUUUGAACUUAUUUGAACAUAGAAACUUUAAUAUAUUUUGAAAAGAUAAUUUCACAUGCCAUGUGGGAAAUGUUGCCUUGAGCUAGUGCUGUACGCCUGAAAGCUUCUAAUGUAAUGAUGCAGUAUUGCAUUUAUAAUCAUUGUUUUAAGCUAGCGUUUUCAAAUCCAGUUCAGCUCCAUGAUAACAGCUGUUGUUUUCUUUACCGAUGUAUUUCACUUUCAGAUAUGAUUUUUUAAAAAUUUCUUUGAACUUCAUACUUUUCUUAGCAAAUAUCUCCAUUUAAAUUCUCAGAAUGAAAAUAAAAAUGAGUUGUCUCACACCUCUACACUUAGAAAAUCUAGGCUGCCUGUGGCCCUUUGCCCUAACACGUGACUCCUGUAUCAUGUAUGUAUAACUCCCUUCUAAUUAAGCAACCUCAUUCAUCAAGAAAGCCCUGCAGCGAUAAGGUAAUUUUUGCCACAGGAAUGUGACACUACCAUGUGCCAGUUGCUGAAAUAGUUGCACAGAUUUUAGUGAAAUGCAAGAGAUAAGUGAGUAAGAAAGUGAAAAUUGUCAGCCCAUAAAUUACUGCUGCCCUCAGUCUACAGUAAUUACAGCAAAGCUGUAGAUAACUGUCCCUCUGAUGAACUCUAGCAAAAUGGUCUUUUAAGUUUAUCAGCAUAUUCAGGUACAACUCUCUCAGGAGGCUUGGCCUCUUCUAAAUGAUCAAAUAUUCUGAGGGUGGGUGGCAGAAGGACAAAAGAUGAGGAAAAAGGAAAGAGAAACAUUAUUUACAUCAAUUAAAGUAAUUUUUAAGUUUAUUCUUUUAAAAUUAUCUAGUAGAAGCCUUCUUUCUCACUUAUGAUUCCUUUAAAUGACACUUGCUAUUUUAAUGACUAUUAAAAUAGUCAUUAAAAUAUUAAGUACUAAAUGGUACUUGCUAUUUUUAUUAAUGGAUGCCGAAAGCAGUCAGGGAGCUAAUUAUUAUAUUGUGAAAGUAAAAAUAUAUAUGAGGCUCAUGUAAAACAGUUUUGUUUGUUUCUUUUGAUUAUUUAUUUAUUUAUUUAUUUAUUUAUUUAAAGACAGUGUCUUGGCUGGGCGCGGUGGCUCACGCCUGUAAUCCCAGCACUUUGGGAGGCCAAGUUGCGUGGAUCACGAGGUCAGGAGAUCGAGACAAGCCUGGCCAACAUGGUGAAACUCCGUCUCUACUAAAAUUAGCUGGGCGAGGUAGCAUGUGCCUGUAAUCCCACCUACUCAGGAGGCUGAGGCAGGAGAAUUGCUUGAAUCAGGGAGUCGGAGGCUGCAGUCAGCUGAGACGGCACCAUUGCACUCCAGCCUUGUGACAGAGUGAGACUCCAUCUCAAAAAAAAAAAAAAAAAAAAAGACAGGGUCUCAUUCUGUUGCCCAGGCUGGAGUGCAGUGGCAUAAUCUGGGUUCACUGAAGCCUCAAUUUCCUGGGCUAAAGCAAUCCUCCCACCUAAGCCUUCAGAGUAGCUGGGACUAUAGGUCUGUGCCAACAUGCUCAGCUAAUUGUUUUGUUUGUUUUCUGUAGAGACGGGGUCUCACUAUGUUGCCCAUCCUGGUCUUGAACUACUGGGCUUAAGUGAUCUUCCUGACUCAGCCUCCUAAAGUGCUGAGAUUACAGUUGUGAGCCACCAUGCCUAGCCUCAUGAAGAUGGAGAAAAAAGAAGACUGACAACUCUCCCAAGCAGCACCAUUUCCAAAAACAUUUACAAGAUAGUGGAUGUGGUGGUGACAACUGAGGAAAGAGCACAGAGACAAAAUCAGAAGCUUGUUGAACUCCUUCUCUCUCUCCUACCAACCUGGAACAGAGGGCUUUUAUAUAGAAUUUCAAGUGCUGUCCUUUACCCCUUUGUUAACUCAUUCUAAGCAUGAAGACAAGCACUCUUGGAAUGAUCAUUUAAAACAGUCACUGCCCUUUCAUGAUAGCCUCCUCAGACCUUGCCAGCUUGAACAAUAAAUUACAAAUCAUUUUUUUGCUGCUAUUGCUGAGAAACCACAGUGGAAAGGAGGCCACUUUGUAUUAAAAAUAACAAUAUUUCAUAGGAAAUUCUCUUAAAUUCAUCAAGGGAUCCAGUGGCUGUGCAUAACCUUUUCUAGCUUCAACCCAUCGAACAUGAAUGCCAUGUGUUGAGGAUGCAGAAACAAUCAAGACAGACAAGGUUCUAGCCACCCUUGAGCUAUAACCAAGUUGGAGAAAAAAGUCAGCAUGCAAGUAAACAAUAAUCAUUCAAGCUAUAUAGGUUGUGCCUCAUGAAACAAAAGGACUUUGUAUGUGAGAGAGUAAUGGAAACCAGGCACAGCUUUUAAGAGAUGAUGUCUAGAAUGGGACCUAAAGAAGAAGGAGCUCUCCAUGCAAAAAUAUAAGAAAAGCCCAUUCUAAGCGAGAGACAUCAGGAAGGACAAAGGAACCGAGGCAGGAAAGAGUUUGGUGUCUUUUAGGAAUAGAUGAGAAUCCAAUCUUGGGCUAAUGAAGCAACACAAGAUUCGCAACAGCAGGGAGUUGCUACUAUCUUUAGCUUGAAGGAGAAAAAGGAGGAGGUUGUAUUACCAGAGCCCAGGGGUGGAGUGACCCAGCAUAACAUAGAAUCUUAGUUGGUAUAUUCAAGAGAAGUUGGAUCCAAAGAAGAGAUACAGCCAUUAUUAGAGAUGCUGCCCCAGAGGGAGAAGGAGAGAUACCUUGAAAAUUUCCCUUAAUCCCUCCAUUCGUUAUAUCACCAAUGACUUCCAGUGACUGAACCAAAUCAGAUGCCAGAUGACACAAUAGCCUAGCAAAUGCAGUCUAAGAAUUCAAUCUCCAACACACCCAGUAGAAAGAGCAAAGGGUAAGAAAUUGACUUGAGAGCAAGUUGGCUCAGAACAGUAGACCCUUAAAUUCAUUAAGGGUCAACUACUUUAAUACUUUGGGAAAAUAAUCCCACUAUGCAGGGAAAGAGGAUGAAUUUUAAAAUGUCAUAUUUUAGGUAUAUAAAGAAAAAUCCUGCCUGACCCUGAUAUAAAGAAAUGAAGAUAUUAGAAAAAAGUGUUGGCUCUACAUGUCCAGGUACUACUGAUCACGACAGCACUUACAGGCUCUAAAUGGUUAACUUCCUGAAAAGUGGCUGUUAUAUGGAAAACCAUAAAACAAUCAUUGGUGAUCCUUGUUUCUAUUUAAAAAAACAUGCUCUUAGGUUCAAGUAGACUGACCCACUUUAGGACUAUCUAUCCCUAGGGAUCUUGUAAAAUGCAGAGAAUGAGAAAAACCUUUAGAAGAUGCUAAACUCUCCGCUUUUAAGCUAACUAGCAUGUUGAACAAUUUAUUUGUACAAUAUGAGAUAUGACCAUAUUGCAUCUCAUCUUAUGGAAUUACUCAAGUUAUAUACAAUUUUCUCAAGUGCUAUUGCUAGUCUGGAUGUAGGAGUGAAGAGAAUAAAUUGAGGGCUUGAUCUAUGUUUGGGGUUUUCAGAGAAGACAUAGAAAUGAAAGAAGAACAGAUUGGUUGAGAAUAUAAUCAAGUGAUUAUGGGUUCUGUAUUGAGCAGAUAAUUUAGUCCAAGAAGAUGCUUAUAGUUAUGAAAGAAAAUUCAGGAUCAAGUACAUGAGGUCUAUAGAAGGUCAAACAGUAGUUAAGAAGGAGUGAAGAAGUGUGAGAGCUAAAGGAUGUAAAGUAGAAGUCAGAAAGUGAGGGCAAUGAGGCAUUCUAGUGCAUGAAUGUGACAGGGAGCAGCUGAAGAGAAUGGAAGUGAUAGUUCUAGUUCAACGGUUCCAGGAACUGCCAUGUUAGGGAGUUAGAAAGUUGCCCACAUGGAUUUGAAAUUUGUCCUUAAUUUAUUCAUCAAAUGUAGUUAGUGCUAUUAUGUCUAUUGUUCAACGUUGCUGAGUAACAAACAACCUCAAAAAUCCUAUCGGCUUCCAAUAACAUUGUGUCUCGUGCUUAUCAGACUGUGGUUUGACUAUUUUCAGUUGAUCUAGGCUGGACCAUGUUGCUCCACGGUGUGAGACUGGAGAACUUUGCUCCAGGAUUUCAGUCUUUUCUAUGUGUGUUUAUUUUAGAGGGCAGGCUGAUGGAGAAGAAGCUACCUGGGUAUGCUCUUCUUAUUGAGAGUGACAGUACAGGAGGCAAAAGCCUAACCACACAAGCAAAUUAAAACCUCAACUCACUUCAUAGCUGCUAAAAUUUCGUUGGCCAAAACAAUUCAUGUUUUAUUAAAAUAAACUGAAAACUGAAAUUAAUAAGAGGUUUUUCUUUUCUAAUGAGUUGUAUUAUAAAAUCAUACGGCAAAAUCUUUGGUUAAGACAGAGUAAAUAUUUCAAAUGAAGAUGCAAU